rnacentral:rRNA from 1 species
UGUUUAACAAAAACAUGUCUUUUUGAAUUUAAUUUAAAGUCUAGCCUGCCCACUGAUAAAUUAAAUGGCCGCAGUAUUUUAACUGUGCAAAGGUAGCAUAAUCAUUAGUCUUUUAAUUGAGGGCUUGUAUGAAUGGUUGGACGAGAUAUUAACUGUUUCAAUAAAAAAUUUAGAAAUUUAUUUUUUAGUAAAAAAGCUAAAAUUUAAUUAAAAGACGAGAAGACCCUAUAGAUCUUAAUAAUUAAAUUAUUUUAUUUAUAAAGAAUAUUUAAAAUUAAAUAAUAUAAAUUAUUUUAUUGGGGUGAUAAUAAAAUUUAAUGAACUUUUAUAGUGUAUAACAUAAAUUAAUGAUUAAUUGAUCCAUUAAUAAUGAUUAGUAAUUCAAGUUACCUUAGGGAUAACAGCGUAAUUUUUUUGGAGAGUUCAUAUCGAUAAAAAAUAUUGCGACCUCGAUGUUGGAUUAAGAGAUAUUAUUGGGUGUAGUAGUUCAAUGAAAUAAGUCUGUUCGACUUUUAAAUUCUUACAUGAUCUGAGUUCA